UACGUAGGGUGCAAGCGUUGUCCGGAAUCAUUGGGCGUAAAGAGCGUGUAGGCGGCCCGGUAAGUCCGCUGUGAAAGUCGAGGGCUCAACCCUCGAAUGCCGGCGGAUACUGUCGGGCUAGAGUCCGGAAGAGGCGAGUGGAAUUCCUGGUGUAGCGGUGAAAUGCGCAGAUAUCAGGAGGAACACCUACGGCGAAGGCAGCUCGCUGGGACGGUACUGACGCUGAGACGCGAAAGCGUGGGGAGCAAACAGG
rnacentral:rRNA from 1 species